UACGUAGGGUGCAAGCGUUGUCCGGAAUUAUUGGGCGUAAAGAGCUCGUAGGCGGUCUGUCGCGUCGGAUGUGAAAACCCAGGGCUCAACCCUGGGCCUGCAUUCGAUACGGGCAGACUAGAGUUCGGUAGGGGAGACUGGAAAUUCCUGGUGUAGCGGUGAAAUGCGCAGAUAUCAGGAGGAACACCGGUGGCGAAGGCGGGUCUCUGGGCCGAAACUGACGCUGAGGAGCGAAAGCGUGGGGAGCAAACAG
rnacentral:rRNA from 1 species